GUACAUUCAAAUCCCUCACGCCUCACACCAAUCAUAUUAAUAAUUAAUAAAAUGGAUUAUGUUUAUAUAUGUGCAUCCAAUUCCGUCUCAGAAAGGAAUAUAACAGAUCCACUUCUAACUGGGUUCAUUAUAUUCCUUCCCGAGACGGAGUUGGAAACACAGACAUGAUCCUUUACAAAUUAUAUUAAUUAUUAAUACGACACAAGGAGGAGGGAUGAUUUUUUCGUUUUUUUUAUAAUAUAAUUUCUUCUUAUUAUUUAUGUACCGGGUGUAUUUUUCUCCCUCUAUUUGUUCUCAAGGAUUGCCAAAUAAUCAAGGAUUCCCCUACGUUCAAGAAUAGUUAUCCCGUUAUUCAUAUUUGGAAUCAUGGAGGAGGCCAACUCAAUCUUAGUGAAAAGAAAAUUCUUCAUCUUUGAGGACCCGUCUUAAUGAGUACGUUUACUUCUUAACGAGAAACUACAACAACUGAAAUUGCGUAGAUACUACUAACUACGUCAUUUGUUUAUUGUACUGCGUUCUAGAUAUUAUUCGUUAUUGUGUUAGUUCUUAUAUUCUACAAUCUUACCUCGGAGUGAACAAAAUAAAUUGAUAGUUAGGAACGUAGGACUGAAAGACCAAUGUAUCGGUCCUUAGGACCAUUGGAUGGUAAAAAAAGAUCGUACCAAUAAAAAAACACUGAAAUAAUAAGGAAAUCAGUCCUAGGACCGAUCCAACACUACUUGUUAUUGAAAAUAAUUUUGUUGAUCUUUUCUAUCUUUUUGGUUAAAAAUACUGGUAGGUUUAACUAAAGUGUCCAAACGAUUGCCCCUCCUCUCCCCUGCAUCGCCUCUUCUCCUACGCCUAAAAUUACAACAAAAACGACUUGCU
rnacentral:lncRNA from 1 species